rnacentral:lncRNA from 1 species
UGCUGGUUUGUUGACAGAGGAUGAGUACAGAUCUUGUUAGAGAAGAUGAUGUUGAGGAGAAUCCUUCUUCUGUCUCUUCGAGAAUGGACCUAAAACGGAUUCAUCAGUGGCUGACACAAGAAGAGUCCUCCGGUUCAGAACUAUUCAGUAAUAAGAGACAAGUGGUUGAGACUGAUAGUGGUUCCCGGACGAGUUUCUUAACUCCUCCUCUUAUGUCUGCUUGGGACAGCUCACUUGUGCCUAACUGCUUAUUCGAUCCUGCUAAUCCACAGCAUACAUCACAUCUCCUUGGUAGAUAUAUCUCUCCUGUAGACCAGGAGGUGCUUCAUGGUAGCUCAUUUAAUCUUGACACCAUUAGAAAGGUCACAGUCAAUAAUCAAGUGUGUGAAUCUCAAAACAUGCCCCAAUCCAUGCUUCAGUUUUAUGAUAGCACCCCCUCUUUUGGCCAAACCUGCAGCAGUAUUGACAAGAGCUUCACCUUGCCAGGGCCAAACUUGAGUUAUGAUAAAGGAGAUGAAAAUGUCUUCUCAACAUUCCAUCCAUUUGGGAAAGGAGUAGAAAGCUUUGCGUUGAUGGGUCAGUCUCUUCAAAAGGCUGAUUAUAACAUCUUCUCUUAUAACAAGGGACAUGAGAACGUCAUGUCUAAUGCCAAUGUUGUGUUCUCACAAGGCUGUGAGAUGGCAUUUAUGGUUCCUAGCCAAGAAAAAGCAGACAAGAACAGUGAUCAAACUAGUCAAGAGGUUAGAAGACAGACCAUAUCUUUUGGAAAUUAUCAGAAAGAAACCACAAUGGUGUCUCCAGUUCCUGUUAUUACCAGUUUUGAGAACUUCAGCCAUUCUCCUGCAGAGGACAACAUGUCUUCUCAAUAUCCUCCUUACGCCAGUACCUCUAGAGUUGAUACAUUGCUCGCCCCCAAAAGUAAAGACUCAAAGACAGCUAAGAAGGGUUCCACCACAAACACAUUUCCUUCAAAUGUAAAGUCCUUGUUGUCAACAGGAAUGUUUGAUGGGGUUACUGUCAAGUACUACUCCUGGUCACGCGAGGUCAGUCUCUUCUUUUAACCUGGAAUCAACCUUUCACCUUUACCAUGUGCUAAAAACGUUAUCUGGCAGAAAAAUCUCAAAGGAGUUAUAAAGGGGACUGGGUAUCUAUGUGGCUGCAGCGACUGUAACCUUAAUAAAGUAAGCAACGUGAUACCAACACUCUUAGAGUCAUUUACUGGCAUGUCUAUCUAAUACAAAAUCUAAUGCAACAGGUUCUUAAUGCAUAUGAGUUCGAGCAGCAUGCUAACUGCAAGACGAAGCAUCCAAACAAUCACAUAUACUUUGAGAAUGGAAAGACCAUUUAUGGAGUUGUUCAAGAGCUGAAGAAUACGCCUCAGGAGAAGCUGUUCGAUGCUAUUCAAAACGUAACGGGAUCUGAUAUCAACCGUAAAAAUUUCAACACCUGGAAAGGUAAUGUUUCGACAGAGAUAUUUUAAUUCAAUAUAGCAGCUUAAAGCAUGGCAAUACAGAACAAGAUACAAAAGUUAUUGUGUGUUAUAUUGUCUUACAGCAUCGUAUCACGUCGCUAGCCUUGAACUUCAGCGCAUCUAUGGGAAGGAUGCUGUAGUCACUUUGGCAUAGAAGUUAUCAACUGGGAGGCCUUUUUGUUGUAAGAGUAAUCAGUUCUUGUUCUCUGUAACUAUGGCUUUUAAUUAUAAAUCAGAACCUUGAAAUGCUGCUAUGAUGCCUUGUCUGGUGAGUCUAGUUCUUGGCAACUUAAUACAGCGCAUUGCUUGCUCUAGUUCUGGCCAAUUGUACUAUUAAUACUAUCAAAAAUGUUCUUCCUAUUUUUUUUUAUUAAUAGGAGUUUUAGGUAUCAGUUUAUAUGGUUCUUGCAAUAUAUAGAGAGAUAUUGCAACAAAAUCAGCAUCUCAGACAGACUCAUGAGACUGAGUUGCUGCCUUUGGGCUCGUUAACUGGUCACUAUUGAGUGAUAUGUUGUUCUUAUCAGGCUAGUUGGAAUGAUCUGUUCGUCAUUUUUUACCAGUCUUUGUCUUUGCUUUUACCACAUAGUACCAAAUAUAUUCCAAUGACAAUGACUAACACAUGCACUCUCUCCUUUGCUGUCCAUCCAAUAUCAUAGUAUGCCUUGGUCGUCUUUCAAAUAACAUAUAUCCACAAGUUCUGAAGUAGAUUUUUCUUGAAGACUACUACUUGCCCUGAACGACAAUGUGUUUCAAUAAAAUGCUCAAAAGCUCACGAGAUAAGAAAACGCUUGAGAUAAAUAAAUGGCAAAGAGAAUGGAUAAGAAUGUCACACAAGUUCAUCAGAGUUUAUCCGGUUAAUGCAAAAGGAAACACCUUGUCUAUUUCAAGGCGUGUGUUAUGUUAUAAGUACUUCACAUGAGUUGCCAAAAGUAGAUCAAAAAGAAUAAUAAAAAGGGGCUAUAGGUGGUCUAGCUUCUCCCUGAUAUUAAAUUGACAUUAGUGUACAUUUGAGGAUUAGAGCGCUGGUCUGUUUGUGUUAAAGACUCGGUGAAGGCGAGUAAAGGUUGCAACAACAAACUCUGCUUCAUCUCUUCCAACAAAGUCUUACUUGUGUCCAUACCCGCAAGGUAUCCUCCAUGCACAUAUCCACUGAACUUUUCACUUGUGUGUUCUCCUGUGAAUAAUAUCCUUCCAAAUGGAGCCUGAUGAAUCACAAAAACCAAAUCAUAAAUUCCCACAUAAGUGCUAAAAACAACAAAAGGUGCUGUAAAAAUACCUUGACAUUUCGUUGAAGCUGAUUAUCAGAUAUCAUAGGGUAAUUGCUGUAGCUACCGCGCUGAAACCGGUUGUUCCACCAUCUAGGGACAAGAAUAUCAGUUGCGUAAGGAAUAGUGGGACCAAACAUGUCCCUCAGAACACUCAUCGCCUCUUUCAGUGUCUCCUCGUCUGAUUGGGACUCCACGCGCUUUGACUGCUCGUUGGUCAACGUCACGACCAGAAUGUUAGACCCCGGGUACGCAUUUUCCAUGUGCUGAUUUAAAACAGGAGCAACAACAGUUAGAUUUACAGACUGCAAGCUGGAGAGUAGAGAGCAAGCAAACUUGUAAUAAUAUAACAAGCUACAUGGACCAUGCAGCUGGUUAGACACUCGAGAUAAUUUAAAGCAAUGAUGAUAAUAAUCAAAGGGACCCCCCAGGUGAUUAAUAAUAAGAUUAGUAGGGAGUGCAUGUGCCACGUUUCUCACGUAUGUGGACUGAAUAAAAAGAUGCAUUGAGAUUAACAAACUACUGAUAAUAUUUUAAUUUUUUUAAGGUAAUCAACCUGCCAAAAGGUGAAGUAGCCGCGUUGUUCGUGCGCAUAGAUGAAAAACUCUUGGCCAGGACCACAUGGCCAGAAACAAUGAGGGAAUUUGAGGAAGAUCUUGGUGUACACCAUCACAUCACAUUUUUGUAUAGCUUCAGUUUUCCAUUUCUGUCACCAAUAAUAGUACUGGUUAGUAAGAUCACUUGAAUAAAGAUAAAAAGAAAAAUAUUCUGACUUCUGAGACAAAGUUUAACAUGCAUGUUUGUUAAUUGUUUAUGUUAUCUUAAAGGACUCCUUCUUGAAUUAUGUGGAUCAACCAUGCAUAACCAACCCAUUGUAUUUGAUGUAUGGUUUUGAUAAAAAUAAAAAAAAAUGAAUUCUGACUUUCUUUACCUAAUGGCUAACGCAAUUUUAUAUUUCCUAGGUUCACGUACAUUGAAUGAUUAAAAAACCUCCCCCUUUUUGUGUUAUCUUUAGCGUUAAAUAAGCAUAAAAGAUAAGACAAAUAAGUAGUUGAUUAUAAACUAGUAAUAAUAGGAGAAGAGGAGAAAGUAAGCUAACCGGUAAAGGAGGCUGGAAUGAGAUAAGAUUGGAUUGGAGAACACCAAUACUAGCAGACACGAUCACAUAAUUGGCCUCGUAUUCGGAACCAUCCUCUGUUUUCACCACAACACCAUUCCUCGACUGUUGCACCUCCCUAACCACCUGCCAUUAAUUCACCACUAAUAUAAGAUUACUAAUACUACUAUAGCAAUAGGUGCCAAAAACUAAGCCAGCUGGUUUCUGAGAGGCAAUAAAUAAAAACAAUGACCCCACACAACUUGAAAUCAAUUUUCACUACAAAACAAAUGCUGAGACUGAAGAGAAACCUAGCAGCUGUGGUUUAGUUGUCAAACUUAGCAGGAAAAUGCAAAUCAACAACAGCUAAAAGGCAAAAAGGAGCUUUUCCAAAAUAACGUCAUAAUAUACUCCUUUUAACUCAAGUAAAAGAGGUCCAUCAAAACCUCAUCGUUUAACAACAGUCGAAAGAUAUUUUUUGUGCACAGGUGUUGAAGAAGAAAUAGUUUAAAAAAAAUCUACAGUACCUUGUUUAGUUUGAGGCGGUUGUCCAAAAUGUUACCAUCUGAGGUAUAGAGAAAGCCCUCGGCCAUUUUGUAAAGCAAUGAUUCGUAACCUCUUUCAUCAGCAACCAAAUAUUCCCUUUCACCGAAGUCCACGUAAGUCGAUAUUGGCUCAACCUCUGAACAACACGGUAACGAAUACAAUGUCAAGAAAUUGCUAGGCGGUAAUUAUACGUUUUGUUGAUUAGACGGACUUUUUUUUUUUUAAUGUUUAGAUCGAUUUUUCAAAAAUCCGUUAAAAAAAUUAUUUCCUUUAAAUCCGAUUUACCGUGUCAGUACUAUUAGAUGUAAUGAUGAAAAACACUGUUAUAAAACAGACAAAAUAUUAGAUGUAAUGAUUACCUGCCAUCUCGAAAUCAUGCAGGAUGAAGUCAAUAGCGAGUUCUAUUUUGUCUGAUGUUGUCACAUAUAGUUCAAGUAUGAGUCUCGUAUUGUUGAUAGAAGAUUCUUCCAGAGUUAUUUUGAAGGACAACAAUAUGGUUUAAGGAAGCUAAGUAUACAAAUUUAUUGAAAAGAUUGGAAAUAUAUUGAGUUUUAAUAAAUAUAAAUUGAUAAUUUUAGAACCCAGAACCCAAUUAAUAUCUUAAACCAAAACAAUUUUGGAUUCAAACAUGUAACUAAACCUGAACAGAACCCGGCCCAAACUUUUAUAAUAACGGAAUGAGGCUAAAACUCAUGAACCUGAAAUCCGACUGGGACCCCGAUUGUCCAGCCUUGGAUAACCUUCUUGUCCAUUUUAUUUGGUCAUGAGUUUUAUAGAGGCCAUACUGGUGCAGAGCAUAUGACUUCCCUUCUUCAUAUUAUAAAAAGAAUUCAGCCCAGUCUUGUGACCUAUAUUAUAAAACGAAUUGGGCCUAAUAAGAAAUAUGGGCCAUUUGUUUUAUAAUAUGGAAAGCCCGAAUCCCAUACUUCAAGGCUUUGCUUAUUUGUCUUGGCUAAAGCAUCAAUUUCAUGGGUUGGUUUUAACUUUUAAGAGAAGGAUGAUGCGAACUAGCAUCUUGCAGUUCUGGUGAGCAGCGUAGAAACUGGUUAUGAGCCACUUGUAAUCUGAUUGGUGUUUUUGGAAAAGACUCCAUAUCCCAUCUGUACUACUUCCCAUCUUUGAUCAUUAUGUUACAUGAAAAUUGUACAACUUGUAAAUAGACCACUAACAAAAUAAGGAUGGAUGUUAAGUUAAAAUGGUAAAAAUCACUUUAUCCUAAAUGUCCUUGCGACAACCCUAUGGAGAAAGAAAUGAGAUACUGUGUGGGGCCAGUAUCAUAAUUGAUAAGUUGACCCAAUCUGUCAAACAUUUUUCACACAUAUCAUCAUCAUGUUAAAUUUUCUUCAUCUAAUAGUCACACUCACACCAAAUGAUUCCCUACCAAACAAGAAAAAAGAACAAUCGUCAAGUAAUCUGACAAGGGGCAUUACUUGUAAAUUGUAACUCUCUACAUACUCGUAACGACCGGACGAUUCGUGUCCCUUUAGAGUUUUUGAUGAUCCUCUCUCUCUCUCUCUCUCUUGUGUUCACUCUUCCCCUCAACCUUUGGAUUCUCCUCGCGACUUCUCUCUUUUGGAUUCGCCGUUGGAGACUUUAAGAACAGCUCUGCCAUUUCAUUUCUAUAGUUGCAAAAGGUAAAGACUCGAGAUCGUCUCGUGGUGGUUCAUGGUUUUAGGGUUCAAAGUUCCUAAUUUUACUGUUCAUUUGAACCAAAGUUAUCGAUGACGUCAUGCUCACACUCCAAUCUGCAUUUUAUAGAAACCUUUAGUUUUUUUUUUUUCUACUCCUCUUCUUAUUGGUUAUAGACUAUUUCAUUGCGAGUGAGUGUGUGUGUUGUUGAUUAUUUCUCUUGCUGGUUUGUUGACAGAGGAUGAGUACAGAUCUUGUUAGAGAAGAUGAUGUUGAGGAGAAUCCUUCUUCUGUCUCUUCGAGAAUGGACCUAAAACGGAUUCAUCAGUGGCUGACACAAGAAGAGUCCUCCGGUUCAGAACUAUUCAGUAAUAAGAGACAAGUGGUUGAGACUGAUAGUGGUUCCCGGACGAGUUUCUUAACUCC